GACGAACGCUGGCGGCGUGCCUAAUACAUGCAAGUCGAACGCAGUGGGGACGGGUGAGUAACACGUGGGUAACCUCCCAUCAGAGGGGAUAACACUUGGAAACAGGUGCUAAACCGAUACUGAAUGAUGGACCCGCGGUUCAUUAGCUAGUUGGUGAGGUAACGGCUCACCAAGGCCACGAUGCAUAGCGGACCUGAGAGGGUGAUCGGCCACACUGCGACUGAGACACAGCCCAGACACCUACGGGAGGCAGCAGUAGUGAAUCUUCGGCGAUGGAGGAAAGUCUGACCGAGCAACGCCGCGGGAGUGAGGAAGGUUUUCGGAUCGUAAAACUCUGUAGUUAGAGAAGCGGUAUCUAACCAGAAAGCCACGGCUAACUACGUGCCAGCCGCCGCGGUAAUUC
rnacentral:rRNA from 1 species